AUUACAUUAGAAAUACUGGUGUACUGCAGAAUUUGUUACUCCUAGGUUGCCUUCCUGACCUGUCAGAGGACAUGCAACAAGGCAGGAUUAUAGAAAAGGAAGAAGAAGGCAUCAUAAAAGGAGAAAAGACAAACAAGAAGGAAAAAAACACAAGGAGAAUACACAUGAAAAGUGGAAAUCACAUCUUCUGGCAUUGUGAGGGUGAGCACUUCAGACCAAAAUGGCCAUAUGACUCAGACUUGGGCCAGCACUUGCUCCUAUUGUUGUCAGAUGAAAGAUCGUAUUGAAGAAAAACUAGGGUAGGGGAGAGGUGGGGAAGAUAGCUGCAUAUUUGUGAUAAAGAAGCUGAUUUAGGAUAGGAAGGAUCGUAUCUCCAUAAUGAGAUCAGGAGACUGUUGUUCAUACUGAUGGAAGUUAAUGAGAAAUUUCAGACUGUAGUAACAUCACAGUGUGGGAGGAACUGUUUUGAAAGCUAAUCACGCUGAAUUUCCUGGAGGCAACACCUAAAGAAAGGAAUCUCUAUUUAUACAGUCAUACAGUUAAAAGAGCUUUUAAAAAGAACGUGGGAGUCCUGAAGGGAUAAUUAACUGAGAAAACUUCAGAGCUUUUCCUCAGGCUUUUUAGAAACAUAAUCUAUCUCUUCCAGAAAGCAUGAGUAACGUGCAGUACCUGCUUGCUGAGUGUGACAGUGGUGUUGAUGCUGACCAGGUGAUGUUGACUGUUUGCUGGGGUAGUACCAUCUGUGGUGGUGUCCGAGCAUCUCCUUACUCUACCAAGUUGCAUGCAUGCACAGGAAGACAUAUGUCUCCAUAUCUUCCAUAUUCAAGCUCUCAUCACUCUGAGGGAAAUGGUGUAAGAGGAGACAGGCCUGACCUUGCCUCGAGAUGAGUACAUCCUCCUGAGAACAGAGUGAUGAAGGAGCCCCACGUGCAGUUUGCUCUACCGUGACUUUGUUGGAAACCUGUCUAGUGACAAGGUCUUCCAGGAGAGAGAAACACACUCAUUGUGCUGGACCUGCUGGUGAAUUGCCAGUGCCUGGCUCCUCUCAGAAGACCCCAGUCUGCAAUCAGACAACUCAGCAUGCCCUGGUGUAGGACCAGAACAGCCAACUCAGUGUCUUUGAAAUCACUAUUCACAGCUGUGGCUUCCUGAAAGAUGCAGAAGAUGCAGAAUGUGAAACACAGACUCCAGAUUCCGCACACCAGCUGCCUUGAUCUCAUCCUGAGGGAUUCAGCCAGAAGCUGAGGCAGUCCCAGUGCAUGACUGAUGAUGACCCGAAGGGUCCAGAUCCAGCUUGCAGGAACAGAUCAUUACCUGUCCUUGGAACUUGCUGUCUUGGUCACCUGAUGACAGUUACCAGAUUGCUGAAGUGUAGCUUCAAGGAUGUAUUUGGAGAUGUUUGAAUAUACAGCGAGUGACAGUCCUACCAGCAUCCAGUGUGCUCUGUGGAAAGGGAAAUUGAGAGAAUGUGUACACCUGGACAUAAAGGAAUCUAAAAUUAAUGUUUUAAGCCAAAACCAUCAUAAGUGACUAUUUCGUUCUCUGACAUCUCUGCCAUCACAGAAGAUGAGUGCAUGUAGCCCUUAACAUACAGGUUUUGAUGGUGGCACAAAAAUGCUGCUUUUAGUCGUAAGCUUCACAUCAGUACAAUUAAUGCUUUUAGUUCCCAGGCAGCUCUGCAAAAUCAAAGGCUUGUGUAGGUCCUUGUUUUUAAAGCUCUGCACCGGCUUACAUUUCCAAGCAGUGUACUCACUACACAUUAAAUGAAAUCCUGAUUUCACUA
rnacentral:lncRNA from 1 species